rnacentral:tRNA from 1 species
GGGGAUGUAGCUCAAUUGGUAGAGAGUUGGCCUGGCAUAGGCAAAGCUCUGGGUUCAAACCCCAGCAUCCCCC